AGGAGGACGCCGAAGGUGGGGCUAAUGACUGGGGUGAAGUCGUAACAAGGUAGCCGUACCGGAAGGUGCGGCUGGAUCACCUCCUAACAGGGAGACAACAAAAUGUUAAAUAUUAAUUUUGUCACCUUAGGUCGAUCGGUAUCUCACAUUCUUAUUUUAUUUAAGAAUUUUAUUUCCUAAGUUUUUUCUAGGUCACACCCAUUAUUUUUCCUGGGCCAUUAGCUCAGGUGGUUAGAGCGCACCCCUGAUAAGGGUGAGGUCCCUGGUUCAAGUCCAGGAUGGCCCAUAUCUCUAUGUUGGGGGUAUAGCUCAGUUGGUAGAGCGCCUGCUUUGCAAGCAGGAUGUCAGCGGUUCGAGUCCGCUUACCUCCACUGAUCACCACCUCUUCCAUAUUUAUAGAAGGGAAAAUUUUUGAGUUGUGAUCAAAUUCUGAGCGAAUCUAGCUUCCUAAUAACUUUAUUAAGAUGCUGGACUCAUUGAAUUAAUUUCAUUGUUUUCAGAGAACCUUGACAACUGCAUAGAUUAUUUUUAAAGACAAUAAGCAUCUUUAGUGAUGCAGAUUUAUUAUUUGUGCUAAUGCAUUAAUAACAAUUCUAUUAAGCUGAUGCUUCAAUUUUUGAAGUUAUUGGUCAAGCUACAAAGGGCUCACGGAGGAUACCUAGGCACACAGAGGCGA
rnacentral:misc_RNA from 1 species